GACGAACGCUGGCGGCGUGCUUAACACAUGCAAGUCGAACGGAAAGGCCCUGCUUUUGUGGGGUGCUCGAUUGGCGAACGGGUGAGUAACACGUGUGUAUCCUGCCCUUGACUAUGUGAUAACUUCACGAAAAUGGGGCUCAAACCGGAUAGGAGCUCCUGCUGCACGGUGGGGGAUGGAAAGUUUCGGCGGUAGUGGAUGGACUAGCGGCUUAUCAGCUUGUUUGUGUGGUAGUGGCUUACCAAGGCUAUGACGGGUAGCCGGCCUUAGAGGGGGACCGGCCACAUUGGGACUGAGAGACGGCCCAGACUCCUAUGGGACGCAGCAGUGGGGAAUAUUGCACAAUGGGCGGAAGCCUGAUGCAGCAACGCCGCGUGCGGGAUGACGUCCUUCGGGUUGUAAACCGCUUUCGACUGUGACGAAGCGUGAGUGACGGUAAUGGGUAAAGAAGCACCGGCUAACUACGUG
rnacentral:rRNA from 1 species